rnacentral:tRNA from 1 species
GAUUUGGUGGUUCAGUGGUAGAAUUUUCACUUUCUGUGUGGGACUCCUGGGGUUCAAUUCCUGGCCAAUGCA